UUGUGGGCGGAACGGCCCACCAAGGCGACGAUCAGUAGCCGGACUGAGAGGUUGGCCGGCCACAUUGGGACUGAGACACGGCCCAGACUCCUACGGGAGGCAGCAG
rnacentral:rRNA from 1 species